rnacentral:rRNA from 1 species
AACGAACGCUGGCGGCAGGCUUAACACAUGCAAGUCGAACGGGCGUAGCAAUACGUCAGUGGCAGACGGGUGAGUAACACGUGGGAACCUUCCUAGGGGUACGGAACAACUCAGGGAAACUUGAGCUAAUACCGUAUACGUCCGUGAGGAGAAAGAUUUAUCGCCCUUAGACGGGCCCGCGUCGGAUUAGCUCGUUGGUGGGGUAACGGCCUACCAAGGCGACGAUCCGUAGCUGAUCUUAGAGGAUGAUCAGCGACACUGGGACUGAGACAAGGCCCAGGCGACGUCAGGCGGCAGCAGUGAGCAAUCUUAGACGAUGUGCGCAAGCCUGAGCCAGGCAUGCCGCGUGAGUGAAGAAGUCCUUAGGGUUGUAAAGCUCUUUUACCAGUGGCGGCAAUGACGGGACUUGGAGGAUAAAGCCCGGCAGACUUCGUGCCAGCCGACGCGGUAAUAC